UACGUAGGGCGCAAGCGUUGUCCGGAAUUAUUGGGCGUAAAGAGCUCGUAGGCGGCUUGUCGCGUCGUCCGUGAAAACCUGCGGCUCAACUGCAGGCUGGCGGUCGAUACGGGCAGGCUGGAGUUCGGUAGGGGAGACUGGAAUUCCUGGUGUAGCGGUGAAAUGCGCAGAUAUCAGGAGGAACACCGGUGGCGAAGGCGGGUCUCUGGGCCGAUACUGACGCUGAGGAGCGAAAGCGUGGGGAGCGAACAGG
rnacentral:rRNA from 1 species